GCUUUCGUGGUGUAGUGGUCAGCACGCUUGACGUGCAUUCCAGAUGUCCGUGGUUCGAUUCCCGGCGAAGACA
rnacentral:tRNA from 1 species